AAUACAGUGUUAAUUUUUUGAUUAGCUAUUUAAUAUGUUGGAUAAUCUGUUUUUCUACUCUGUCUGAUCUGACAGUCAUUGUUUGUUUUAUUGUAUUUUAACACAACUGAAUGCUAUUUUCACAUAUUAUCUGUUCUGUUGUCAGACAUAUAGGGGCGGUUUCCCAGACAGGGAUUAGACUAGUCCUAGACUAAAAUAACUAUAAGAGCUGUCCAAACUGAAAACAUCUUGCACUGACAUAUCUUAAAAUCCAUCAGUGCCCUUAGUUUGGCCUCAAAAUGCACACAAGUAAUGUUUUUAGUAAGGCAUGUUUGUUUAAACUAAUUAUAUUUCUUAAUUAAACUAAGGUCUAGUCCUGGCAUAAGCUAAUCUCUGUCCAGGAAACCACCCCAAAGACUAUUAAAAUAGUGACUAAACAUGACCCAAUAACCUUGUGUUUAAUCCAACCAGCUGUUUUUUUUACUACAAAGUUACUAAAAUCUUGAUUUAUAAACUCGACAUCGCAGACAAUUCGGCGCAAAUUAAAAAAUUGCCAUUCCACAGAGUUACUACACUGUAAAUGCAAACAUGGUUCUUACUUAAAAAAAAGUAAAUUGACCUUAAUCAGUUUUUAUCAACCUGCUGUUAACACUUGCUUUUAGUGAGUUACUUGUACUUUGAGGUUGAAAAAUCUUACCAGCUCAGUCUACUUGAGCUGGAUUCAUAUAGAAAAAGUAAGUUUAUGACAUGUGGACAUGCGCAGAUCAGUCCUCUCUGAAAUCCCUAAACCCAACCAAUCAAGGUGCUUCGUGGGGCGGGUCUUGGCGUUGCGGGAAUCAUAAUUUUGCAGACGGUCGUUACAAGUCACCUCACACAUGCCGCAACUGACCAGGUGGAGCUGGACCUAUACAUCGCUUCUACGGCACUUUUGAUUAUCUUCAGCCGAGAUUCUUGUGCUUGGCACACUUAUUUGGCUCAAGCAGAAUGGUAAUCAAUCCUCCUCACAUUCCAUAAUCCCAGCAAUAAAAGAUACUGUGGACAGUCCAUCAUACCCAGGACUACAGUAUCCUAGAUGCCAACCACAAAAUGGAAGAAAUGAAGAAAAAACAACCAAAUGUGGCACUCUCAUUUCACAAAUGAUGGACCAAUCAUUCCCACUAUGCAGACAAGAAAUUGUAAAAAACAAGGGCCUGCUGUACAGAACAUGGUUGAACGAUGGCCAGCACUUUUCACAGAGAGACAGGUGUUUGCUGAGUUUAAUAGAAUCGCCAGUAAGAAUCUUGAGGGAGACUUGAGGCUUUGGACCAGUAUGCCCUACGUUUCAUCGAACUUUUCAAAACAAAAAGGGAACUGUUGGC